rnacentral:lncRNA from 10 species
AGAAGUCUGGAGGUAAGCUGUUCAGAGCUGAUGCGGUGUUUCCAGGCAGCAGGUAGUGAUCCAGGCUCUUUUCUAUUUCUACUCAGCAUGUCCUUAGGGUUGGAGUGUAGUUGCGUGAUCACAGCUCACUGCAGCUUCAAUCCCCGGCUCCAGUGAUUCUCCCACCUCAGCCCCCGAGUAGCUGGGCCUACAGGUGCACAUUACAACACCCAGCUAGUUUCUGCAGUUUUUGUGGAGAGAUCGUUUCACCAUGUUGCCCAGGCAUUUCUCAAACUCCUGUACUCAAGCAAACCUUCCACUUUGGCCCCAAGUACUGGGAUUCAGGCAAGAGCCACCGCGUCUAGCC